CAUUCUGUUCUGUGUACAGCAGGAUCCUCUGGGGCAGGGAGCCCGCGAUAGUGCUGGAAUUUCUAAUCCUUACGAUGCUCCUAUGUGUGUUGGCUGGGGAGGGAAAGGAGGAGAAAAUAGAAAGCAGGGGUGGUUUGGGUCUGAGUCUGAAGAACGAGUCAUCUGGGUGGUACCGUGCUGGAAUUUCAUUUCGUUUGGGUCACUUGAGGCUCAACCGAUGCCCAAGAGAGAGGACAACGCGUCAUCGUUUACCCGUUACCUUUCCUCCACAGCCUUCCUCAGCCACCAGGGUAGGCGCCUGCUCCUGGUUACCGUGGCAACCGCGCGGAGCCCCAGCCAGCUCUGCUACUGCACUUUCUACAGUUCAGCCCUAGCUGAGAUGCAGCGGUGAGGAAGGACAGACCGACGGAGGCAGACCCCGGGUUCUGCAUUCCUUCUUCGCUGCUGCGGACUCCGAGAGGACGAGGGAAGGCGCAAAGAUGAAAGAAGUGUGCCUUGGGGCUUCCGAGUGAGAACCUUCGAUGGGAUUCUAGCUGGAAGGUGGAGUCACUACACUCAGGAUGCGUUCAGCCACGACAGCAGCACCUGUGUCCUGAGGACCAGCAAACCUGGGGAGGCAAGCUGUCGCCGGCGGGCGAGGAAGACGCGGGUGUGACGCCCCAGUCCGAACUGAACCCAGGGCUGUGCGCACAUGCCAGGCAUUUCCCACUGAGCGUCAGACUCCGGCCUUUGGAAAGUGCGGUCCUGAGAGGCCUUUGCCCUGAGCAUGCCCACUUGACAGGGCAGCCAAUCUAACCAGCGCACAGCCCAGGCAGACUCUUAGGCAUGCAGUACUUCCGGCAGCCCGAGAGAGCACGGAGAGGGUGGCACUGCUGGACCCAUUUCUCUCACUUAGAGCCAAUGCUAUUCUGACACAAUAACGUGCCUUGUUUUUAUGUGGCACGCGGGAAGGUAAGCAUUUGAACUCUUCUUGGCUGUGUAACACAUCACUCCCAUCAUGCACCCUGCCAUCAUGCCCUUAUACCAAAAUUCAAUUCUGGCCAUGAUGCUCCUCAGAUGUGUGACCUUGGGAAAAUACACCAGUGUCUACAGAGAGCGCUACAGGCCUUUGUAGACAAAUAGAGAUGGCAGUGACUGGGUGAGGUGAAGGAGAGGUGGUGUGUGUGUGUGUGUGUGUGUGUGUGUGUGUGUGUGUGGCACUUGUUGAGUAUACAUGUCAAACAAUGGAAUAGGCCCAUGGACUGACUUUUGGAAGGGGAAGGAAAGUUAGAGAGAGAGGCUGUGAAUUAAAUGCUUCAUGGAAAGGUAGUUCCCAGGGGUCACAAAGGAUGGGAACCAGGCAGCUAAGGGGAUCCAAACAGAAACGGAACUAGCAGCCAGGCAGUGGUGGCGAAUGCCUGUAAUCCCAGCACUUGGGAUGCAAAGGCAGGCAGAUUUCUGAGUUCAAGGCCAGCCUGGUCUACAGAGUGAGUUCCAGGACAGCCAGGGCUAUACAU